GGGGGUGAGCUGGCCUCUGCUGUUCAUGCCUAUACAAAGACAGGGGACCCCUACAUGAAGUCCCUGGUGCAGCACAUUCUGAGCUUGGUGUCUCACCCUGUCCUGAGCUUCCUCUACCGGUGGAUAUAUGAUGGGGAGUUGGAGGACACUUACCACGAAUUUUUUGUGGCGUCUGAUCCAACAGUUAAAACUGACCGUCUAUGGCACGACAAGUAUACCCUGAGGAAGUCAAUGAUCCCCUCCUUCAUUACGAUGGACCAGUCUAGGAAGGUCCUUUUGAUAGGAAAGUCAAUAAAUUUCUUGCACCAAGUUUGUCAUGAUCAGACACCUACUACAAAAAUGAUAGCAGUGACGAAGUCGGCAGAGUCACCCCGUGACGCUGCGGAUUUAUUCACAGACUUAGAAAACGCAUUUCAAGGGAAAAUUGAUGCUGCUUAUUUUGAGACCAGCAAAUAUCUGUUGGAUGUCCUCAAUAAAAAGUACAGUCUGCUGGAACACAUGCAGGCCAUGCGACGGUACCUGCUGCUUGGCCAAGGAGACUUCAUACGGCACUUAAUGGAUUUGCUCAAGUGAGGGGCUCCACCUUCCAUUAGGAGGAAAUGGGUUGAAUUGUUGCAAAUCUUUGUUUAAAACCAGCUCUACAUAGAUAAAGUUUUCCUGGGUUAAAUCCUUUAUAGUUGUCUCUGGUAGCUAGCAGAUCAUCAGAAGUGUGCCACGCCAAGGUCAUGAGGAAGCCUCAAGUCCCUGUGACCAUCAUGACGUGCAGUGGCUCCCUGAGGGGGUGGAGCUGGAAGCUAGUCACAGUUGACUUUGGCUUCCGUUUGAAAUUAACAUGAUAAAUAUGUAUUUUAAAUUGGCCUCUUGGUCCAUGUGCUUUAUGCAGCUUGACAACAUUGCCUAUCUCACUGUGCCCUGCGGCCUUCCUCCUCUUGUGGAGUAUCCAGACCUGGUGUGUGUAGCUCAGGGCUCUGGACAGGGCUGACGGUGAAUGGGGCUUGUGUGGUCACAGUAGGGCCAGUGCUCUCACUGAAGAGUUUGAAGGGCAUUGUCCUUGGUGUGUCUAAGGGUUCCCUUUAAUAAUAAUUUUAUAAUAAAUUGUUCUCUUCAGGACAAAAAAAAAAAGAAGGCAUUACACCUUGCCUGUGCUAAUGAAGCUGAUGUUUUGAGCCUGUGACCUCCGAGUUAGUCUGACUUCCCAGGAGGUUGUCUCCAGCUGGCCCAUCUCAUCCUCCAGGGGAGUAUGGGUGGCGGUGCCCAGGAGCGUCUGAGUUGGAGCUGGUCAUCAGCUGGCGUGGAUGCUCAGCAAGCCCAUGAGUGCAGAGCAUUUCCACGCCAGAAGUGUGUAGGUUUCGCAGAGAGUUAAAGAGGAUGUGGCGAGGAGCUAUUAAAGGGUAGAUGCUCUCAUGGUGCUGGCCAACAGCGGCAGUGCACAGGCGUGGGCAUGCAAAGUGGAUGCUUGUGCAGACAGCCUAGCCAAGCAGCACAGAGUGGGGGUGUGCUCAGCAUUGCGGAUCACUCCUCCCCGGGUGUUGUCUCCUGUCCUGGUGUGUCAGUCAUCUUCGGUGCAGGGCUCUCUCCUCAGCCAUCAGUCUAUCUCCUGCACACCUGCCAUGAUUGCCAUCUUAGUCAGAAGAGUGGGGGCUUCGUGUCUGGAUGCACAGCCCUGAGCAAUGAAGUAAGCUAGGUGCUGGUGAUGGUGUGGUGCUGGCCACUGGAACUGUGAUGUCUAUAGUUAGCUGCAUGGACAUAGGGUCUUCGUAGGAAACUGUAACAGUCCUGCCCGUAAGCUAGCCAUAGUGUGAAAACUAUCAAGAUGUGUCGCACAUAUAAGUACUUUCACCCUAAGCUGAAUGGAAAUUAAUGUUUUUAAUAUUUUGAAGAAACCUACUUUCUACAGCAUUGUUAGUAGUUAAUGUCAUGAGCUUUGCUUAAUGAAGCAGAGUUGAGAUUUUUAAAAUUAUUUUAAUAAAUUUUGAGCACAGGGAUAAGAGAAAGAAGCAUGCAGGAAGACAGUAAGACACUCAAGCAUGGUGUGGGCGCCUCAGAGGGUCUCACUUUGUUGUCUUUGCAGUGGCCACAUACAAGGCUCUGGAGUGAAACACACUCUUGAUACUCUUUCAAGGACUCGUGAGAAACCUAAGUGAGGCCACAGAGUGGUUGCUAGGCACCGUGAUGCUUCUGUAGCUAUGUGUUACUAUCCCACUGUCUUCCGUUUUUAGCUUUUACUUUUUAAAUUAAUUUUUAAAAAAUUUCAAAUAAUAGUAUCUUUAACUUUAAACACCUUUUCUAAAGACCAGAACUUGUUCGGCCAGCAACAACUUUGUAUCAGCAUAACUUGACGGGGAUUCUUGAAACUGCUGUGAGAGCCACCAAUGCUCAGUUUGACAGCCCGGAGAUCCUUAAGAGGCUCGAUGUGAGGCUGCUGGAGGUCUCUCCUGGUGACACUGGGUGGGAUGUCUUCAGCCUGGAUUACCACGUCGAUGGACCAAUCGCCACUGUGUUCACACGAGAGUGCAUGAGCCACUACCUGAGAGUGUUUAACUUCCUGUGGAGGGCCAAGCGCAUGGAGUACAUCCUCACUGACAUCCGGAAAGGGCACAUGUGCAACGCGAAGCUGCUGAGGAACAUGCCGGGUAAGGCCAGAGGCCGGCGAGACAUUCAAGUCUUACAGUCUCCGAGCUGAGGGCGCGAGCUCACUGCUGCGAUCUGAGUCUGUGUUGUAUGGACAGAUUUACUUGUAUUGUUGUCUCGGCUUCAUUACAGAGUAAGAGGAAUUAAGUCACACUGGAUGUUUUCCCAUACUGUGAAGUUUCUUUUAAAAUCACAUUUGUUUCUUCACUAAAUGUUCAUGGGUGUAGUAUGAUGGUGAUGGUGAUGAUAAAAAUAUAUGUGUGAGUGCCUGAGUCUGUAUAUGUGCUUGACACACAUGGAGGCCAGAAGAGUUUGCAUGCCCUGGAAUUGGCAUUACAGAUAGUUGUGAGCUGCCAUGUGGAUGCUGGUAAUCUAACCUGGAGUCUCUGAAAGAGCAGACCGUCUCUCCAGACUUUAGUAUAAUUUUUUCUUAAAGAUUUAUUUAUUUAUUUUAUGUAUAAUGAGUACAUUGUUGCACUCUUCAGACACACCAGAAGAAGGUAUCAGAUCCCAUUUCAGAUGGUUGUAGGCCAUCAUGUGGUUGCUGGGAAUUGAAUUCAGGACCUCUGGAAGAGCAGUCGGUGCUCUUAACUGCUGAGCCAAGCCCCAAGUUUAAUUUUUUAAUCACCCAUUUUCAAAGAAGGUAUGCCUUUCAAUAGGCCCCUGGUUUAUUAAAAAUUCACCUAGUGCCUUAAUUAUGUUCUCUUUGAGGUGUGGAUUUUUCUUUUGCGCAUAAUCUAGGAUAUGGCCAUGUGUUAUAUUUUACAGUUUAGAAUUAUAGUUUACACCCUUAGUCAAGAUUUUGUUACUGUUACAAUAUUGAAUGACUUCAAUUAUGAGUAAUUUUGAGUUUAUUAUGUAGAAAUCGAUUACUAAAGCAUUUCAUAAACCUCUCUAAGGCACAACUAAACGGAAUCUGCCCUUUGAAUAAUAAAAUAGUUGUUAUAAGUAACUUAUAAAUCAUAGUUGUUAUAAAUGGAACAGGUGUUUGAAGGAAGGGGUCUCCUCAUUGCUGCUGUUUCCGUGAGUCAUAGGCUGACUCUAGACAGCUCCCGAAGGUUCAGGAUGGUGAUGGCUGCAACAGACUGCAGGUAGUGCUGGCCACCCGGGCCGGCGUGGCCACAGCAGAGUGGCCCUUUCCAGGGUCUUAACACUUUCUGUACUCACUGACGGCUGGUUCCUUGUUGGUGGCUGAGAAGGAAGUGAGCUUUCUUCCUGUUUGACAUGGUGACUGACAGCGAGGUGGGGGAGCUGCUCUCCAUAGCCUUCUCUUCACAGAGAAAACUGGCCUCCUGGGUCCUCAAGGACGAAAAGUGCAAGGUCUUCUCGCAGAGCUGAGGCAAGCCUUGCAGUGAGGUACUGUGGGUCUUCCCUGCCCCCACGUCUGACCCCGCACUUGUAUUUCCUUCUUGUGAAGCUGUUCACUUGUUGAGAUGAAAAUGUUGUUUAGACAUAGGGCUUUUAGAGAGGCAUAGGAGAGUGUUAGUCCUCUGGUAUGGUUGGUUACAGAGUACACUGGUUGGUGGCAGUGCAAUCUGUAUGGGCAGGGCAAUAAGACAGUAGAGCUUCAUGAGCUUAAGAAGUGGAAGUGACUGGAGAGUUGCCUGUGGCUUAGAGCACUUGUUGUUCUUCCUGAGGACCCAGGUUCAAUUCCCAGCACCCACAUGGUGGCUACCCAUUCCCAGAGGAUUCGAUACUCUCUCUGACAGCCUCUGGUACCUGACAGUGCAUAUGUGUAUACAUGCAGGAAAAACAGUCAUGCAGUAAUAAAUAUAUAUUAAUUUGUCAUUAAGUAGUAAAAAUAAAUCUAAAGGAAUGUAAUCAUUUGUU
rnacentral:lncRNA from 1 species